rnacentral:lncRNA from 1 species
UCUCAGGAGCCUUCCACCUCUCCGAUGAGUUCCCUUCAUCUUCUCCGUCCACUUUCUGACCUGAAUCCAUGGUGGUUUACCACCCACCAGUCUCCUAUGGCUCCUCACGCUUGAUUACUCAAGUCCCAUGACUUGACCACAAAGAGUUGAAUCUGGACCUUUGUCGAUUCAAGUUCUACGUCCAUCUUCGGCUCAAAUUCGGUGUAUCCUAGCCCUAUGAGUCCAUCUCUGACUCGUUCGACUCGGACCAGACCCUUUUCCAGGUCUCUCUUAAU